CUUGACGUUCGUUACUGCUCGGCGGAGAACAUGCUUACCGAGAUGAACACAGUAUGCAAGUUCAACAAUUAUGGAUUUGAAAAAUCAUAUUGAAUUUGACAAGAUAAAUCGUCUAGACAAGGGUAGCAUCAUUCUUAAACCACUGCAAGGAUACAUACUAUAUAUGACACAGAUGACAUACUAAUUUUGUCCUCAUAAUUAAUAUUGAAAUUCUCUCAAUUCUACCUCACAUUUACACUCCAAUCUCCCUCACAUUCUAGCUCAAAAUCCUCUCCAUUUUCUAAUUCACAUUCUAGCAAAUAAACUAUCUAUCUCCAUUGUACACAUCAAGUUAUUUUAACUAAUACGAAUCGUAUAUAACAAGCAAACUAUCCAUCACAUUCUAUCUCAAAAACAUGUAUAAAUACAAAUCCUCUUCAUUCUCCUCUUUCUAACAAACAAACUCAUUAUUCU
rnacentral:lncRNA from 1 species